AAGGUUGGACGUACUCUAAGGAGGAAGCGACUCCUGGGGAGUUGGCCAGUGAGUCAAAAAGCAAAAGGAGGAGAGAGUUUGACAAUAUGUUGAGUAGAUCAGAAAUGAGUGAGGCCCUACUCCCUAAGGAAGAAGAGAAAGAAGACCACCAUAACCUAGAACUAUAAACUAUGAUGGGGCAGCUUGUCUUCAUAUCCUCCUCUCUUCCCCCACCUAGACCACACCAGUUCACGGUGCUGCAAUAAAGAAAGAAAAGAGCCA